CGGGGUGUGGCCUAGUGGCUAAGGCGCCUGCUUUGGGAGCAGGAGAUCAGAGGUUCAAAUCCUCUCACCCCGA
rnacentral:tRNA from 1 species